GACGAACGCUGGCGGCGUGCUUAACACAUGCAAGUCGAACGGAAAGGCCCUGCUUUUGUGGGGUGCUCGAGUGGCGAACGGGUGAGUAACACGUGAGUAACCUGCCCUUGACUUUGGGAUAACUUCAGGAAACUGGGGCUAAUACCGGAUAGGAGCUCCUGCUGCAUGGUGGGGGUUGGAAAGUUUCGGCGGUUGGGGAUGGACUCGCGGCUUAUCAGCUUGUUGGUGGGGUAGUGGCUUACCAAGGCUUUGACGGGUAGCCGGCCUGAGAGGGUGACCGGCCACAUUGGGACUGAGAUACGGCCCAGACUCCUACGGGAGGAAGCAGUGGGGAAAAUUGCACAAUGGGCGGAAGCCUAAUGAAGCAACGCCGCGUGCGGGAUGACGGCCUCCGGGUUGUAACCGGCUUUCGCCUGUGACGAAGCGUAAGUGACGGUAAUGGGUAAAGAAGCACCGGCUAACUACGUG
rnacentral:rRNA from 1 species